AGCAGAGAAGAAGAUUAUCCUAACUUUUUAUGCAGUGUACCUUUCCUUUUAAAUUUUUUUUUUUAAUGAUGGCUGCAGGAUGCUCGUCUUUUCAAAGAUGUGAACCCUUGGCUUGGUCCCGCUCUAUUAUGGGUCGACUGUUUAUCAAGCAGGAUCAAUGUAUGAUCUUGAGCCUAAUCAGAUCGACUCGCCAAGACUUUAACCACGUGGCAUGUUUUUCACAUAGAUGCUUCAUCAAAAGUGUACUUCGUAAAAAUUGUACUACCUCUGUUUCUUAUUAUGUACUCGUAUAACAAAGGGUUAUUUAGGGGUGAAAGUAGUUUGGAUAAAAACCGAAAACCGAUCCAAACCAAACUGAACUAGAAAUUCGGUUCGGUUUUUUCGGUUUUCGGUUUGGAUUCGGUUCCAAAAUCCUGAAACCGAAUUAUUUCGGUUUGGAUUCGGUUCUGGUCCUAAAAAACCGAAAACCGAAAUCCAAACCGAAAUGUUUAAAGCCCAUAUAGAUUCCAGCCCAAUUCCCCUACAUAUAUAUAGCAAACCCUAAUUUUCUCCUUCAUUUUUCUGACUUUCGGCCACCUUCACUCCUCAAUUCCUCUACUUCCUCACCAAAACCCUUCAUUUCCUUCACUCCGACCAUCGUAUCUCACUCCGGCCACCGUAUAUUGUCUCCUUGGUCGAAUAUCAGUUCCUUUCUUCAUAUCUGGUGUUCGUAGACUUCGUACUCCCUCAAUCCGCGACGCGCCACCACCUUCUAUCGCCACCACCUCUCUCAGUCACUCAAAGACUUGAAGAAUAUGAAAAUUACUGAUCCAAUCAACCCAAACUUGGUUGAGCUUGAUUGAAUGCAUGAAGAGUACGCUGCCAAGAAGAAGAAGCUAAUGCCAGAUUUGAAUGAAGCUGCUGCCAAUCUGCCAUACUGUCAUUUUAUGUUUAAGAUUACUGUUGUGUUUGACUGUCUGUAAUUUUUAUUUUGGCUGGACAAACUUAAGUGUUGUAAUUCGUGACAUUAAUUGUGGUGGUGGAAGCUUUGUCUAAAAAUUUAUGUUUUGUUCAGGAACAGGUACAAAAAUUAGGUCUUUAAAAGGCCCAAAA